rnacentral:tRNA from 1 species
GCCAGGGUAGCUCAGUUGGUUAAGCAUCUGACUUAGGUUCAGGUCAUGAUUUUGCAGUUUGUGGGUUCAAGCCCUGCGUCGGGCU